GAUAUAAUGAUUUAUAACUUUAAUCCUGCUGCUAUCUGUCUAUCAAACUCAAUCAGGAAACAACGGCCUCACUGCCCUCUAGUGGCCUGCCUUGGGCAGUUCCCGUUAUUUUUUUAUAAUUAAGUCACUAACAUCAUAUUUUUUUUUUUCGGAUCACAAAUAAAAAAAUAUCUAAUAUCUUUAUUUUUUCUUUCUAAUUCGUCCUUUCUCUUAUUUAUUGCAUGUUAUUCUAGGGACAUGUGUGGACAGGCUGAAAAAACGACCUCAAGUGAUCAAAUAUGAAACAAAUACCCUUAAAAAACGAUAUAAACUAUCUCAAACAAGUUGUUGUUCACAUAGUGUUUUCAUGGCUUGUGCAGUUCCUUUAUCACAUUGUAUUUUUUUAACAGCUGAAUAAUUUAAAUAAAUUAUGACAGAACAUGAAAACUAGACAAAAACAACCAUAUAUGUGCAACUUUCAUUUGAUUAUUUAGAAAAGCUCUGAGCAGAUGAAGUUCCAGAUCAGCAGAACCAGAACAGUGGAUUGGUUCUGGUGGUGGACCAUGCAGAGUACAAGAAGUACGGCAGCAGGAAGACUGUGACAGCGAGGAUGCUUGCGGUGGUUAACCACGUGGACAAGCUGUAUCGUAGCCUGGGUACCCGCGUGAUGCUGGUGGGUCUGGAGAUCUGGACCUACGGAGACCAGAUGGAGGACAGCCCCGAUCGCAGCGGAGCUGGCAGCGGAGAGGUGGAGGAGGUCAGUCGUCAUGGUGACUGGGUUGAUGUUUUUCAGGUUCCUGAGACUGAUUUGUCUGUUUGGCUCAUUGAGGGGGGACAGGGUGGUCGAUCAACAAAUCAAAAGUGUGUAAUAAACGAAUCCCCAGUUAGUCUGGAUUGUUGUUAUAUGCAAUGUUUGCCAAAUGUAUGAAAGAAUAUAUAAAGGUUUAUGUCACAAAUGUCAGUGGUCCUAAAACAAAGCAAUUUGGAAGACCUGGCUUGACCUGGGCUACAAUGUUCAUGCUUCAUGCGUCAGAGACUAUUGGCGCUUUCCACCGACAGUAGCAGCUCAACUCGACUCGCCUCGACUCGCCUCGACUUAUUUCCGUUUCCAUUGCCAAAAUCUGGUACCUGGUACUUUUUUAGUCUCCCCUCCGUCGAGGUUCCAUGAGAGCUGAACCGGUACUAUUGUGUGACUUGAA